rnacentral:misc_RNA from 1 species
AGGCAGGUGCAUUCGUAUAUGGUUAAAACUGCUAAUGAUAAAAGUAGGUUUGCUGUGAGUUCUUUGAUUAACAUGUAUUCCAAAUGUGGGAGUUUUCAAGCGGCCUGUGAGGUGUUUAAUGGAUGUGAGUAAGUAGCUGAUACAGUUUCAAAGAAUUCUAUGUUGGCAGCUUGUUGUAGAGAACGUGAAAUGGACCUAGCUUUGAGGCUGUUUUGGAGAGAGAAUGAGUUCAAUGAUACGGUUUCUUGGAGUACAUUGAUUUCAGGUUUUGCUCAAAAUGAUUAUGAGGAGGAGUCAUUGAAGUUAUUUGUUUGCAUGUUGCACAAUGGUGUGAAAUGCAAUGAGCAUACUUUUGCCAGUCUUUUGAGUGCUUGUACUGGUUUAAGGAACUUGAAGCUUGGAAAGGAAAUCUAUGCUUGUGUUUUGAGGAAUGGUUUGAGUUCAAAUCCAUUUAUAGAAAGCGGCCUCAUUGAUUUUUAUUGCAAGUGUGGGAAUAUGAAGUAUGCAGAAUCAAUACAUUUAGCAAAUAGGAUUGAAAGCUCCUUUUCAAUCACUUCUAUGAUUGUGGGGUAUUCAACACAAGGAAACAUGGUGGAAGCACGUAGGAUUUUUUAUUCUUUAGCAGAGAAGAAUGCUAUUAUUUGGACGGCUUUGUUUACUGGGUAUAUGAAAUUACUAAAAUGCAAAGCUGUUUUUCAACUGUUUAGUGAGUUUAGGUCUAAGGAAUUAAUGGUUCCCGUUGGUUUGAUCCUUGUAAGCAUGCUUGGUGCCUGUGCAUUGCAACCUGCACUUAGUCCGGGAAAGCAAAUUCAUGGUUAUGUAUUCAGAAUUGGAAUUGGAAUGGAUAAGAAAAUGACCACUGCUAUGGUUGACAUGUAUUCAAAAUGUGGCAGUAUAACAUAUGCGGAAAAAGUUUUCCAACAAGUUACUGAAAGAGAAUCUAUCCUUUACAAUGUCAUGAUAGCUGGCUAUGCUCAUCACGGACAUGAGAAUGAAGCUCUCCAGCUGUUUCAGGAAAUGAUGGAGAAAGGAGUCAGGCCAAAUGCGGUAACUUUUGUUGCACUUCUAUCAGCUUGCCGACACUGUGGAUUGGUAGAUUUAGGUGAAAGUUUUUUUAAUUCCAUGACUGAUAAAUAUAACAUAUUGCCUGAAAUUGAUCACUACGCAGGUAUGAUUGAUCUUUAUGGAAGGGCUAAUCAACUAGAAAAGGCAUUAUCGCUCUUGAAAAAGAUUCCUAUAGAACAACAGGAUGCUAUAAUCCUUGGGGCAUUCUUGAAUGCUUGUAGGCUAAAUAAGAAUGCAGAAUUGACAAAAGAGGUGGAGGAGAACCUGUUGAAGAUUGAGGGAAAUAAUGGGGCUCGAUAUGUGCAGUUGGCUAAUGUUUAUGCAGCAGAAGGGAACUGGGCUGAGAUGGGGAGGAUAAGGAAGCAGAUGAGAGGAAAGGAGGCCAAGAAGUUUGCUGGUUGCAGUUGGAUAUACCUAGAUAAUGGAGUCCAUAUAUUUACCUCUGGUGAUAGAACCCACAGGAAAGCAUAUUCUAUAUAUUCAAUGUUAGCAUGUUUGAAUACAGUGCUAUAUGAAGUUUCCGGAGUAAUCUGUUAAGAUGACAAUGUUCUGAUUGUUAAUGUCGACAUGCCAACGGAACUACUGUAGGGUAUAGAACAUACAAAUAUGUUGUACAGUCUUGCUUAUGUAUGGAGGCUCACUUGUUAAAACAUGAAGUACUGAGGGUCGAUUCACCAGUCAUGUUCCGGAGGAGUUGGCAACUCACCUGAAAUUUCAGUUUCUGAGCAUUCCGAUUGCCAAAUCUGUAUUAUGUCGUGGUACAUAGACUGAAACGACCUGUAGGGAGAAGUAGGGUAGCAGGGUGUGAAUGACAACUAGAAGAGUGACAAGCCAAUACAGAGGGUUUGGAGAGCAGGCUUCCACUAGUGCUCUAUA